UAUCUGCUCGGUGGGGUGGAGCUGGAGAAGCUAAUGAGACCGGGAGUCUGUGUACGUGAUCCGGAGGAUCCGGAGUAGUUGGGUCUUGUCUGCACUGGGAAGAAAAACAAAAAAAUGAAAGUAGUUGGGGACAUGAAAACAUUGAUUUGUUAAUUUGCUCAACUGCCUCUUUUGAGCACUUAGUACGUGCCAGAUAGACCUCAGUGUGAAACGGACGGAAUAAAGUCUGAGACAUGUUUAUGAAGAAUGCCAAUAUCACAAACUCCAGGUGGUUGAUCUUCUGGUCAUUACUGGAAAGAUGGAACUGGAAGAAACAAUUAAAGUAUGGAAGCAGUGGUCACAUAUUAUGUGGUUCUUCCAUGAAACAGAAGCACCAGGACCAAAGGAUUUCCAGUCCAACUUCUGUGUUGGCCAUGACCCAUGAUGUGAAAGGUCUCAGGGGUACAAGUUUCCCCACAUGCCCAAGAACAACCAAGGUUUCAGAAGACACCCCACCAAUGCAGGUUUCCUGAGGUGACACGAAAAAAACAAGAGAAGAUUACAGAGCAAAUCUGGACCCAAGUGGUGGAAGAGAAGGGAGAAGUCCAAGUCCUCUUUGAUCCAGGCUUGAAGAUCCUGUGGGGGAGGGGUGUGUGCAAUAGGAUCCUUCCCUUGGUUCAUUACAGCCUUUGUACCUCUGGAAUCUGGGAAUUCUUCAAUUCUAAUUUCCAUCCUCCCUGCCUUCAGCUUGAGCUGCACUGAAUCCCCAGCCCAGUGCUUUGCACGCAAGAGCAAGUGCUUCCCUUGUCCUUCCCAAGACCCUCUCUGCUUCUGGGCCAGACAAGGCUCCAUGGUCUCCAUUCCCUCCCUCCUGCAUCUUUAAUCACUUCCUCUCCCCUGGCUCCUUCAAACAUCAACAGGUUUCCGCUCGCAGGAAAAUCCUUUCAGCUGUGAUCACCUGCCUAAUUCUUCUUUCUUACUACCAAUUUUUAAGAAAGUCUGUGACUUCAUUUUUCUCACUAUCUAUUAAAAAAAAAUUACCUGUCUCCAAAGUCCUGCUACUCCCUGCAUUUGCUUUCUCAACUGUGGACUGCUAGUUAUUUUUUCUCCUUGUCAUAUAUAUAUAUCUUAUUUCUCCAAUAAGACUAAGUUCCUUUGGGGGAGGGGUCAUGUUGCGUUCUUUUUUUGUAUUCUGCAAAGUACUUGGCACAGUGCCUAGUUCACUGUAAGCCCUAGGUUGUACUUGCUAGCCAAACCACACCUAAUUCAACUCAACUAUGGGAUUACACCAAGCCUGCACCCAAGCAGCUGAAGGUUGUUGAAGAAAAGCCCACAAAUUGGUGUCACUCCACCAAUGUCAAACAGGUCUCUGCCUGGCAUUCCUAUACCACUGCCCAAGUAUGUUCACUUUUUCACUCUCCAAAAUGACUCACAUUUUCUCCUGACUCAAACCUUCCACAUAGGCCAAGGUGGGAGGAUCGCUUGAACUCAAGAGUUCGAGACCAGCCUGAACAAGAGUGAGACCCC